UGAACCGAUAAGUAUAACGUUCUGGAGAUCGUUUUGUUGUGCGGUGUGUAAGCCCUGGAUAUACAGGGAAACCUAAAGCACAUCAUAGAUCCCCGCCAUUUAGUUGGUUGGGCUCA
rnacentral:sRNA from 1 species